ACUCCUUAUACUGGGGGUGGCUCUGAAGCAAGAAGCAGAGAAAGGCAGUUAUUAAGGGCUGGGCAGCUGCCAAGUUUGCUGAAAGGGAGAAUGUGCCAAACUGGAGUUCUUGUAACAGUUGCCAUCUGCAGCAAUGAAGAAACAGGCACAUGUGGCACCAGUUCCUGGUGGAGGAGAAAGAGCAGGAGAGAGAUCAGCAUCAUCUUAUUAAUUGCAAACCGCAUUGGACUCAGUGGCCAUCACUUGGUGAAGUGAGAAGCAUCAGUCUGAGCGGUGAAUUGGCCCAUAAGAUUCAAUAUGGCCUGAUUUAAUAGUCAAGAAC